rnacentral:lncRNA from 7 species
GGACCGGACAGGGAAGGGCCCUCUGGGGCUGCAGAUGCCGGCCCAGGGAAGCGCCUGGGGACCGGGAACCGGGGACCGGGACCUGGAGAUCUAGUCCCGGACCACCAAGCGGAAGUGAGGUGUCCCCCCCCUCACCUCGGAGCAUCGGCUCGGGCCGCGGGAUCACGGCCACCACCACGGCCUCGUCGUCAUCAUCCCCUUCCUCACACUUGAGCGUCACCUCGAAGCAAUCCAGAGCCGCGGCGCCCUUGGCUUUCAGGGCCAUGGCGAGGCGAAGAAGGGCGACCGGAUAGCCGAGGACGUUCGCACAGACCUCGGCGCACCGCCUGUGGCGGCCGCCUCCUGCCCCGGACCACCCCGGGCCCGCGGCUCGCCUAGCUCACCCGCCGCUCGCCCGGCCGCCCCGCCAGCCACGGGCUUCAACGCGUCACGACCCCGGGCGGGGAGGGUUCGAUCCGGGGCCCCCAACCCCGCCGCUCCCUUUUAUGGAGGCUCAUUGUCAGCGUCCGUCCGGCAGUCCCGCCUCCAGACCAGGCUGGCCAAUCACGUGAGGACACGCCCCCUAGCCCCGCCCCAGCCACAGGUCUGGGCCAGAACCCUGUGCAGCGCGUUUGUCUCUGGCCGGUUUGCUCGGCGGCGAAGCCUGGAGUUUUCCUGGGAGCGGCGCCGGCAGCCUUGGAGACCCGGUAGGGCAUCCCCACCAAUGGCUGGAGGAAAGGGCUGCUCGGCAUCUUACUUCUUGGCUUUCCCCUGACUAGCUGCCUGCCUGGGAGGCAACACAGACGAGAAAAGACCGGUGGGGAUGUGUGAAGGAUACAUAGGCUCAGAAGUGUGGAGACAUCUCUUCUAAUUUCUUUGGGCCUCGUUCCUUUCUACUAGCACAUACGCUUUAGGGAAAGAAAAAUCACUUUGGAUCCUCCUAAACAAAGAUUCUAGAAGAUGAAGAGGACAAGAGUGGCGUGUGGGCGUGUGUAAACCGCUUCCGAUGGAUAUAAUUUACGUUAAAAACAAAACAAAACAAAAAA